AGAGUGCAGAUGAUCCAAGAUCUUAUAAAAACCCCCUGUACUACCCUUCCACAUCAAACGAACGCAACGAGCAAACUGAAUCCGAAAAUACCUCAGAAAAGAAAUGGAAACAAAACUGGCUUUGGGUGUUCUUUUCGUCUUGUCACUUCUUCUGAUCGAAGGAACCGAAGGCGGAAUUGCACAGAAAAUGACUCUAGGACGGCUUGUAAUCAUAAUUUGAAAGAAGAGCGGAAACGAAGAGUCUGCUCCAUUGCUCGACAACUCGAUUGCAAACAGAUCCUGCUAGAUGAGGACGCACACCUGAGGGGCCAGCAAGUUGAGACUCGUUAAGAAUCCCACUAAUAUACAACGACGCUGAAAAUUAAUGUAACUUUAAUUUGGUUUAAUGCCUGACUUAAUGAAGGAAUUUUGAGCUCCAUAGGAAGUGUUUUGCUUGUGUUUUUUAAUUAAUGAAGUAAAUAAACGCUGAACGAGUCUCUUA